UACGUAGGUGGCAAGCGUUGUCCGGAUUUACUGGGCGUAAAGAGCGCGCAGGCGGUCGUUCAAGUCGCGUGUGAAAGCCCCCGGCUCAACUGGGGAGGGUCACGCGAUACUGAUCGACUCGAAGGCAGGAGAGGGUAGUGGAAUUCCCGGUGUAGUGGUGAAAUGCGCAGAUAUCAGGAGGAACACCGGUGGCGAAGGCGGGUCUCUGGGCCGAAACUGACGCUGAGGAGCGAAAGCGUGGGGAGCAAACAGG
rnacentral:rRNA from 1 species